rnacentral:misc_RNA from 1 species
GGAAUCGCGGGGGGCCUGCCAUGGAUUCCUUGCAUUCUCACACCUCCGAGAUCAUCGGCGUCGCCGUCGCCGUCGUUGCCGUCGCCGCCGGCGUCGCUUAUCUCUAUAUCAGCAAGAAACCCAAGGCCUGCUUGGAUCCGGAGGAAUUCCGGGAGUUCAAGCUCGUAGAUCGGAAGCAGCUUAGCCACAAUGUUGCUAAGUUCAAGUUUGCGCUGCCGACGCCGGAUUCGGUGCUGGGGCUCCCGAUCGGGCAGCACAUCAGCUGCAGGGGAAAGGAUAGCCUCGGCGAUGAGGUCGUCAAGCCUUAUACGCCUACGACGCUUGAUUCGGACAUUGGGUACUUUGAGUUGGUUAUAAAGAUGUAUCCACAAGGGAGAAUGUCUUAUCAUUUCCGUGAGAUGCGAGUGGGUGACUUUCUGUCAGUUAAGGG